rnacentral:rRNA from 1 species
CCUACGGGGGGCAGCAGUGGGGAAUAUUGGACAAUGGGCGAAAGCCUGAUCCAGCCAUGCCGCGUGUGUGAAGAAGGCCUUCGGGUUGUAAAGCACUUUCAGUGGGGAAGAAAGCCUUGGGGCUAAUACCCUCGAGGAAGGACAUCACCCACAGAAGAAGCACCGGCUAACUCCGUGCCAGCAGCCGCGGUAAUACGGAGGGUGCGAGCGUUAAUCGGAAUUACUGGGCGUAAAGCGCGCGUAGGCGGUCUGAUAAGCCGGUUGUGAAAGCCCCGGGCUCAACCUGGGAACGGCAUCCGGAACUGUCAGGCUAGAGUGCAGGAGAGGAAGGUAGAAUUCCCGGUGUAGCGGUGAAAUGCGUAGAGAUCGGGAGGAAUACCAGUGGCGAAGGCGGCCUUCUGGACUGACACUGACGCUGAGGUGCGAAAGCGUAGGUAGCAAACAGGAUUAGAUACCCGAGUAGUC